rnacentral:misc_RNA from 1 species
GAUGAAGAACGUAGCGAAAUGCGAUAAGUAGUGUGAAUUGCAGAAUUCAGUGAAUCAUCGAAUCUUUGAACGCACAUUGCGCCCCUUGGUAUCCCGAGGGGCAUGCCUGUUCGAGCGUCAUUUCACCACUCAAGCCUGGCUUGGUGUUGGGCGACGUCCUCUUUGGGGACGCGCCUCGAAACGCUCGGCGGCGUGGCACCGGCUUUAAGCGUAGCAGAAUCUUUCGCUUUGGAAGUCGGGGCCCCGUCUGCCGGAAGACCUGCUCGCAAGGUUGACCUCGGAUCAGUCAGGGAUACCCGCUGAACUUAAGCAUAUCAAUAAGCGGAGGA